rnacentral:rRNA from 1 species
AGUGAACGCUGGCGGUAGGCCUAACACAUGCAAGUCGAACGGCAGCACAGUAAGAGCUUGCUCUUACGGGUGGCGAGUGGCGGACGGGUGAGGAAUACAUCGGAAUCUACUUUUUCGUGGGGGAUAACGUAGGGAAACUUACGCUAAUACCGCAUACGACCUACGGGUGAAAGCAGGGGAUCUUCGGACCUUGCGCGAUUGAAUGAGCCGAUGUCGGAUUAGCUAGUUGGCGGGGUAAAGGCCCACCAAGGCGACGAUCCGUAGCUGGUCUGAGAGGAUGAUCAGCCACACUGGAACUGAGACACGGUCCAGACUCCUACGGGAGGCAGCAGUGGGGAAUAUUGGACAAUGGGCGCAAGCCUGAUCCAGCCAUACCGCGUGGGUGAAGAAGGCCUUCGGGUUGAAAGCCCUUUUGUUGGGAAAGAAAAGCAGCAGGUUAAUACCCCGCUGUUCUGACGGUACCCAAAGAAUAAGCACCGGCUAACUUCGUG